CUUUAAUGCCGCAUGCUCCAUAAAAGGCAUUGAAAGCUUCCUCUUGUAGUUGAAAGAGGAACAUACAGUACACGUCAAACCACCGCGCAAUUUCUCAUUCCGUUUAGAGCGAGUCAAUCUCGGCUCUAACUGCAGUGGCUAAAGUGCUCCGCUGAACAAGGAAUGCAUUACUGAGACCAUGAGGGAGGGAGACAAAGUAAAUUGGCUUGAGCUGAAUGAGCCGGAGACACCUCAAACUGUUGUGAGGGAGCUCGCUCCACUUGUGGUCGUUUAAAUUAAGACGCGGUGCCUGCUGGAAGAAUGUGAAGGAUGUCUCAUGCAGUAAGCUGAAGGUCCUCGGUGCUUUGACGGCAGCGACAGCCACAGAGGCUUCAGAGAAGGACGUGGACACAUUUGGUAUGUGUGACUGGUGGCUCAGCCUUCCGUAUCACACACCGGCAGCAAGGUCAGUACACCUGGGUGAGGGGAAGCUGCACAUCACUGAAGAGCUGUGCAGGUGGAGGCAGAGCAGUACCGCUGUCACAGAGCAAUCAGUGGUGUUGUGACAGUAGUUGGGCACGGGUCAUGCUAUCUGCAGCAUGAGGGGAAAACGGGUGGAAUCUUGUCACAACUGUCACAACAACAACAAAGAAAAGAAAAGAAAAAAAGGGGGGAUUCAUUAUUAAUGGAUAGAGUGGAAACUCCUAAGUUUUUCUCAGUUUGAUCUCAUGUUCUUUUCACUCUCUGGCUCUCUGCACUGUGGUGCACUAUGAAUCCAAACCACUCUGCUCUCUUCUAGGCUUUGUGGUUCAAAGUGAACGCAAAUUGAACUUCUCCCAUUUUGACCAGAACAAAAUCAUAACAGUUCCAUGAAUUUGAAUCAUGUUCUAGGUGUGCCAAAAACAGAUCUCGUCUUAGAGAAAAGGGCAGGCAGCGGGUUGCAAUGGUUUCUCCCUCCACCGCCCUGUUUUUUUAAUGUAUACCUGCUCCAAUAUGAGACAUGACGCUGAAGAAACUACCAGGAGAGACAAACAAGAUAAAGCAGGAAGCCCGACCGGCCUUAGAAACAAACUGAAGGAGAAAUAACUAAAAAUUAAUGUGCAAGAUUAAUGAGAAACAACCUGGUGCCAGCAGCACAGGCUCAAGUUUCUCAACUGACUCAGUCAUGAAAACAUUUUUGUUUUCCUCUGGUUCAUAACGGAAAGCUGCGGGACCCUCGAGAGGAAAAAAUAAAAAACUCCCACAUUCCUUACCUUAUUUGCUUUCCCCCCCUACAAAAGGUCCCCAAGAAUAAACUGAUGGUUUGAUUAGUGCAUACUGCAAUGAAGCCUCGCAUAAUAGACUUUUGGAUGGCUGGUGUGCCUCCAGGUGCUCAAGGCCACCUGAACUCUGUGUGGUCCUUGCUGUGUCACAUUUACAAAGCCACAGUACUGCCUCAGGGGGACAUAUAUCCACAUAACACCUGGUGAAGAGGCAAAGCAAAUGAGAGGAAGUGAGCUGUUUCCACUAUCAGUGAAUAAAUCCCCAUAUUCUCAGUCCUACAUUGACUAAUGAGGUAAAUUACACAGUGCGCAAAAAAAGCAGAUUCCUUUUAGGACUAAAAACGCAGCCGAUUGUGGAUCCUGCCCCUGCCCAACAACUGACGGAUCUUUACUUGGCAAGAAAAACAACAUUGUGAUGAGGAUGCAAAGAAAAAAAUGAAUGCUAUGACAGGAAGCAUGCUUUUAGGAGAGCUACAGACACUGAUGUGCUGGAGACAGAGAGAGGCAGCCUAAAGAGAGACUUCUCUUGCUCCACUCAGAGAAAGCCUGUGUUGUUUGUCUUGUUUUCUCAGCCUGCACAUGCCAGCAAAAUCCCUCCAUUACCUUAACCCCACUCUCCGCUGCUGCCAUCUAUCAUUUUACCAAUGCUGGAGAAAUCUGAGUUCCUAUGCAGAAUUCUAAGCACACGGACCCUCCUGCCUCUCUGGGAGUACGUGGUGUGCUGGAUAUCCACCGUGCAUGCCAACCUCUCUGAAUGAGGGAAAACAUGUGGAGCAGAACACUUUCCAUUCACACUCACACUGAUCUUAAUUCCUUAAUGUGUUUUGUUUUCUGACUAAGAGAAAACCCAGAAGAAUCUUGAAUGCUGCUUUAAUGUAUGCACUUUAUCAGGUACAUAUUUGCUGUAUUGCAUUGCUGUACUGUAGCUAGCAGUGAUGUUUUGCAACUACAUUUACAUUUAUAUUCAAGGGGGAUAAAAACAACAGAAACGUUUACCUAUGACCUCGGUAAUGAACACAGGAAAAAGCUCUUUUAUGAAGACGGUUUUGUGGUGGAGGGGCUGUACAGAGUUACGUAUGAUUAGAUUACUCACAUUCUGACACUCGGAUGACAACAGAGGUUUCUCCAUUUUUCCUCCUUAGGCUGCAGAAACUGUGUUCUGUGGUCUGUGUAAUCAUAUCUGUCAGCCAGAUGCACACGAAACAUCACUGACACCUCUAUCAUUCGCUGCAAGAGGAGGACCUCAGUGCUAGGUGGAUGACACGCUAAUUGCCGGUGUGACGAAAGAAACAAGUGAAAAUCAGGCUAGGCUAAUUUUUUGGUUCAGUUUCACUGCCUGUGUUUUUUAUUUUAAUGUCUUUUCUCUUUAAUGUUUGAAAACCUGCAAAGCUCAUGAUGGCACAUGGAAACUUGGUGUGGGAAUUCACAAAAAAACCCCAAAACAACGACAAUGGUUGAAUGUGUGAGUUUUAACGCUGCAAACACAUUAAAAAAGAUGUGAUGAACAAAGAAGGUUCAAAUUUUGAGUGUCACUAUGACUUCACUUUAAAAAAAAAAGGAAAAAAAGAGGCAAUUAUCUAUGAUUGCAUCUGAAAGAGUGGGGAUUUAAAUGGCAGUGGCAUUUGCUCGGUCAUGCCGUCUUUUCAAGAGCCGUGGAAUCAAUUCUUUGGUGUGAAUCUUCAAAUUAUUAUUAAGGUACUAGUGGUUUGGAUUCCACAUCGCUACAAGUCAUUCUGCUGAAAAGCGGGCACAACAGUGACACGGUGUCUUACGCGACAGCUAUAAAUACAUGAAACGAUAUGAUAGCUAACAAAUAUGCUGAGCUAAAUUCCCGUCUUCAUGCACAACUAAACGCAAUACACAGAGUAAUAUUUAAGCAAACACAGGAGCACAAGGAGGCGAGGAGACAGAUGACUUUGAGGCUUUGGAAAGGGGGGCGGUGAUUUACAUAUUCAGUCAAUUCCCUGUUGCUGGCCGACAUGCAUAAUUCAUCCAUUUUAUUGACUGCUGAGGAAUUCUGUUAGGUGACUGAGAGAUACUCCCGAGAACAAAAGACGACUGUCCUUUUCAUAAGUGUCAUCAGGACCAGUAUGUCUGAGAGAUCCAAAGGCCUGUUUCUCUGUGUGACGGAUGACACAAGGCAUAUUUACAAAGACUGCAUUUUCAGUGUGUUGAAGGAACAGCUUAAAGUGCUACAUAUGCUGUCGCAGUGUUGCUGAUAUUAAUCAAAAUAAAUGUUGAGCCCGGUGUCCUUGGCAAUAGAAUUGCUCAGAGCCUAAAUUGAAUUGAGGCAACAUUCAGGACGCCGGCGAAUACACACACAGCGCGUUACAGCGGAAUAAUCCAUCGUAUGAUCGAUACUGAGUGCAUUGGAAAACGUAGCAUCGGAACAGAUAGGCCCUGCUUUUCUACAGACAACUACACCUGCGGUCACUUACUUCAGUUAUGUACACCUGUUCAGCAUCUUGAAAGUGCACAUUUCUAAUCAGCUAAUCGGCACCUUAAUGCAUUUAGUCGUGCUGAAGUUCAAGAUGAGCAUCAGAAUGGGAAAGAAAGAUCAUUUAAGUGAUUUUGAACAUGGCAAGGUUGUUGGUGCUAGAUGGGCUCGCCUGAGUAUUUGAGAAACUGCUGAACUACUGAGGCUCUCCUACACAACUGUCUCUAGCGGUCAGAGGGAAACGGCCAGAAUGCUUACAAAUUGACAGGAAGACAAUAGUAACUGAAAUAACUUCUCGUUAUGACCAAGGUAUGCAGAAGAACCAUGCACAGUGCAUCUUGAAGCUAAUGGGCUAUAGCAGAUCACAUGGUGAGCCACUACUGUCAGCUGAAAACAAAGUACGAUUCAUAUUAGCUCACCAAAACUGAACAACAGAAGAUUGGAAACAUUGGCUGGUCCGCUGAGUCUCGAUUUCUGCUGCCACAUUCAGAUGGUUGGGUCAGAAUUUGGUGUGAACAACAUGAAAGUUUGGAUCCAUCCUUGCAGCCCUGUAUUAAGAAUUCAGGCUGCUGCUGGUGUAAUGAUGUUGGGCCCAUUAGUACAAACUGAGCACUGUUUAAAGCCCCGAGCACUACCUGAAUAUUGUUGCUGACCACGACCACAGUGUACCAUUUCCUACUUCCAGUAAGAUAACUCAUCAUUGUUACAACGCUCACAUAAUAUCAAACAUGACAGAGACUUCCCUGUACUUAAGUCACCAGAUCUCCAUCCAAAAGAAUACUUUAAGAUGGUAGGGUCAGAAUUUGCCGUACACUAUGUGACUCUGUGUUUAUACACCUCUCUGUGUAAAAUUAUUAGUUAUUAUUAAUCUCUGGCUCUCAUCCACAGCAUGUCUUUGUCCCGUCUUCCUCUGAGGAGUGUUUCCAGCUCUUUGUUGAAUCUGUGCCAUGAAGAAUUAAGAUAGCUCUGAGGAUCAAAGGGAGUACAAGCAAGACAUACCUAAUCAAGUGUCCAUUGACUCACAGCUUCCCACAGCACCUGCAGACGGGCAGGCACACAACCCUCCCCUCACUGGCAGCUGGAGUGGCUGAUGUUUAGGUGGAACACUUCAGGAGGAAUUUCGAGAGGUGGGUAAAGCUCCCGUUUCAACAACCUUGAAAUAUUAAACAGCUAAACACAUAAAUGUUAACCCGGCUGGCUUCAUCAUACCUCUAAUGUGAGCCUCUCCACUCUUCACAGGAGCCAUUCAACCAUUAACUGCACCCCAGCCAGCAGGGGUCAUUUGGCAGUUUUUGUUGCAGGUCUGCAAAACACCGUCUCAUCUACAAAAAGGUUGUUUUUUUUUGUUUGUUUUUUUAAAGUUAAUGAGUAACUAUAACCCAGUGCAGUGACUAAUGAUUAUUUUCAUUACUGAUUAAUCUGCAGAAUAACUCUAAAUUCAGAAACAUUUUUCCUUUGUUCAGUACAUUGUUAUUAAAUUGCUUAUUGUGUCUGACCAACAGUGAAACCCUCUUAUGAUCUGUUUUCUGUGACACGGGCAAUCAAAAGCAGCAAAUUACACCACGUAAGAUAAUGGGACCGGGUUCACGCUUGUAUUUUUUGGAUUGAGAAUGGCUGACUCAUGCAAAUGCCUGCUGAUUAUAAUUUGAAAGAUCAUAUUUAACACUAUUUUCUGUGCUGCUGGAUGAGUUGUACGUGUGUGUGAACGGUCACCUUUCUGCCUCCUGUGCGCAAUUUCCUCGUGUUCAGGUAUGGUCUCUCAAGCGUGGCUCGUCUGAUGACUUACCCUCUGGGGACAAUGGUUGGGGCUUUCAGGGGGAUGCCACUAUCUGCUAUCUGGUAGGGCACAAACUCCCCCUAGCCAACUACAGAAACAUGUGGGGGAGGGGGUUUCUUAAACAGAGCUUCUGAAUGUUGUUUCUAGUGGAAAAGCUCUCUUUCAUUAAAGAUAAUUGAGUUGUAGCCAAAACAAUACAGAUUGCAUUAGGGCCUUUAAUCAUGUUAAGGUGUCUUGCUUUUUUACUGGGAGUUUAGCUCAUUGUCAGCCCAUUUUGGGGUUGACCUUCUGCAGAGGUCGUUGCCAUAGGAGCGGAUGCUCCCAUUACCCAAGCACAGAUAAAUGUGUUGGCACUACAACCAUAAAUCCCUUUGCGCUUCCCGUCUAACCUCCCUGCUUUCCCCUGGCUUCCUUAUCAGGGGAAAGCGGGUGGAGGGGGGUGGCAGGUAAGACAGGCUGCAGAGAGAAGCUCCACAGAGCGGCCUCCAAUGUCAGAGGAGUCACCUGUGGGAUUAUAAAGGAGUUGUCAAUCAAGCCCAACACGUGAGGAACAAAGAGCGGCUACCGCUGGCCUGCCCUCA